ACAAUGGGUGGCAGGAGGCAAAUCCAGCUGAUCUACCAGCAGCUGUACAUCGAUCGACAUGAAGUUGAAUGGAGAUGAUUUUCUACCAGCUGGGAAAGUGUCAAGAAUAUGUAGAAGCUACAUGAAUUGGCACAAAGGCAAUUGAUUGAGCUUCGUACUAUCAGAGGACUGGGCAGCUAAGGAAGCUGAAGUGAGCCUUCUAAUGGUUGAAGUUAAACGCGCUCAAUCACGAUAAGUUAGCCUUGACUAUGUAAGUAUCAUUAAAUAACCAUGAGCAGCUGUACUAUCAGGUUUUCUUUAUUUUGGCUGCAGGGAGAUUUAUGGUCUCAGUAUCAGACAACAAAUGAAGACACAAGUAAUAAUAGGUAAUUUUGUUUGCAUUUUGCAUGUGUAUGAACAGAUAUGCAAAGUGUGGAUUUACUUAAUUUUAUUCAUUCAACAUACAGUGGUAUGUACUGCUAUUAUUUUGUAUGUGCUUUUAGCUUUUAAGAUUACUAUUAUUACUUAAAGAGUAGAUUUACUUAAAUGCGAAUGAUUUGAUACAUGAUAAUUUAAAAUCAUGGAAAUAUCUCAUGUAUGCGAAAAUAAGGUGAUCUUAUUUGUUAGCAGGCACUUGAAGUGUUUUAUACCACUUUAGUAUCCACUUUUGUUUGGAAUUGCUCUUUACAGAUAGAUACGCAUGACUUAUUCUCAAGAACUCAAUAUUUCAUCAAAUGAGCAUUCCCUACUCGAGCCUCUCCAUAAAAUUCGAUGAAACAAUAUCUUUUUGGGUCAGAGUUGGGCUUUUUCUCCUCUUGGUU